AUUGAACGCUGGCGGCAGGCCUAACACAUGCAAGUCGAGCGGAGCGGCGGACGGGUGAGUAAUGCUUAUGAAUCUGCCUGGUAGUGGGGGAUAACGUCCGGAAACGGGCGCUAAUACCGCAUACUAUCAGAUGAGCCUAGGUCGGAUUAGCUAGUUGGUGGGGGAAAGGACUACCAAGGCGACGAGCCGUAACUGGUCUGAGAGGAUGAUCAGUCACACUGGAACUGAGACACGGCGCAGACUCCUACGGGAGGCAGCAGUGGGGAAUAUUGGGCAAUGGGCGCAAGUCUGACCCAGCAACGCGGCGUGAAGGAAGACGGGCUUCGGAUUGUAAACUUCUUGAGACAGGGACGCGGUACCUGUAGAAUAAGCCACGGCUAACUCCGUGCCAGCAGCCGCGGUAAUAC
rnacentral:rRNA from 1 species